rnacentral:rRNA from 1 species
CAGGUAGGACUAUGAAAA